UGAUUUUUGAUUGGAUGGAGGCGGAAGAGAAGUGCGGAGCAGCUGGACCUGAACUCUCCACUCACGUGAAAGUGGAGCGAGAGAUUGAUUAUUGCUGUGGCAAUUUGCCAUGUGGAUACUUUGCUUAUUCGCAUGUUUAUGAAAUUAUUUUAUUUGGUCACAAAAGUGUGCGGUUAUUUAACUGUGUUAAAUUUCUUUUUUUUUUUGGUCAAGUGGAUUGGACAGCCUCCAAUCCUAGGCAUUAACCCCAUGUUUUACACACCCACACAACACACUCACACACACUACAUGGGUACUAUGGGUUCUUGCAACAUCCAGCCUCAGCUGGGAUUUGAACCCGGGUGCAGCUUGAUGAGAGGCGUAAAAAUCCUCCAUCUGUGCCAAGCCUCAGCUGCAACUGUGUUAAAUUUCUAAGCAGUGUGUAGUGUGUUCAGACCUAGGAGUAUUAUUGGUUAAAAGAAAAAAAAGACCACUACUGUAAUGUAUUAAAUAAUUAAACUUUUUCAAGAUUUAAAAUAAAUUUUUGCUUUUGUAAUUUCUUAAGACAAUAAGACCUAAG
rnacentral:lncRNA from 1 species